UGGGAACCUUCCCUAUGGUUCGGAAUAGCUCAGGGAAACUUGGGGUAAUACCGAAUAAGCCCUUUGGGGAAAGAUUUAUCGCCAUUGGAUGGGCCCGCGUCGGAUUAGCUAGUUAGUGGGGUAACGGCCUACCAAGGCGACGAUCCGUAGCUGGUCUGAGAGGAUGAUCAGCCACACUGGGACUGAGACACGGCCCAGACUCCUACGGGAGGCAG
rnacentral:rRNA from 1 species